rnacentral:rRNA from 1 species
GAACGAGAAAGCGGGGGCAACUCCGUGAGUAAAGUGGCGUACGGGUGAGUAACACGUAGCUAACCUACCCUCGAGUGAGGAAUAACCUGGGGAAACUCGGGCUAAUACCCCAUAACAUCCCAAGCAAUCGGGAGCAAAGGUCCGCAAGGGCCGCUUGAGGAGGGGGCUGCGGCCGAUUAGCUAGUUGGUGAGGUAACGGCCCACCAAGGCGAUGAUCGGUAGCCGGCCUGAGAGGGCGCACGGCCACACUGGCACUGAAACACGGGCCAGACUCCUACGGGAGGCAGCAGUGGGGAAUUUUGCACAAUGCCCGAAAGGGUGAUGCAGCAACGCCGCGUGAGGGAUGAAGGUCUUCGGAUCGUAAACCUCUUUCGACCGGGAAAAAUGGGCGGGUGUAGAGCCCGUUCUGAUGGUACCGGUGGAAGAAGCCCCGGCUAACUUCGUG